rnacentral:tRNA from 1 species
GGCGACGUGGCCAAGUGGUAAGGCAGAGGCCUGCAAAGCCUUUAUCACCGGUUCAAAUCCGGUCGUCGCCUCCA